AAUAGAAAAGCGCUCUUUUCUUUAGUUCUGAGCUCCAAUCAGAGCUCAUGCUUUUCUCUUCCUGUGUAGCUUGUCCAGACCUGCCGAAUGCUGACGGAGUGGCUCGGAAGUUCCCGAGAGGCGCGCGCUCUCUCUCUUGCUCUGCCCCUCCCGGUUUUGCGACUGCCCUCUCCCUCUCUUUCUUGUCCCUUCGCUUCCCUGGGCGGGGAAUUGUUUCUCUUCCUUCCUUCCCUGUCCCCUCCCACCUUUGCAAUUGCAAUCAAGAUGGAGGAGCGGGGUGGCUUCUGCACCCUUCUAGGGCACUGUGGUUAAUGCAGCUGCUCCUGCCUUGCUCCCUAAAGACUGCAACACCCUUCCUCCAGCUUGCGCGCCCGUCCGCUUGCUUACUUCCAUUCUUUUCCCCCCUCCCACCAGGUUCCUGCUGCUGCACUGAUUGCAGCCCCCUCCUCCCAUUUCCAUCCAUGCGCCCUCCCUUCCCCCUCCUGCAAUUGUCUCUGCUUUUGGGGUUUUUUUUGCUCCUGCGUACAUCCAUUGCUUAUGCAUGCGCUGCACACCCUGCCUCUCUGGGGGGGCUGCCGGGGGCUCCCCUAGAGCUGUGAUCUCUGCGCGCACACCUUCAAUCGCCUCCUCCAUCUAUUAUUACAAUCAUUGCUGCUGUCUGUGCAAGCGAGCGAGCCAUCCAACCAGCCGCCCUUUUCUUUCCCCCGUUCUCUCUCCCAUUUCUCCCCCUCCUCUUUGCACCAUUAUCAUCAUCAUCACCACCACUACUAUACCACCACCACCACCACCAUCGUGUCUCUGGAUGGAUUUCCUCCCUGGGGUUUUUGCUAGAACGUGAAGCCGGGGACCUGGUGGCAAAAUUGUAGAUACUGUUUGUCUCCUGCUGCUGCCAGGAUCCAGCCAAGGAAGAACAAGGAGGUCGAUCAGAGUGGCGGUGGCCGUGGGAUCUGGUCUGGAGGAACCACCAACCGCGUCUAGCAGCCAUGAGCGGUUCCACGACCGCCUCCUCCACCAGCGGCAACGCAGCCGGGGAAGGGGCGGAGGACGCUGCCAAGGAUUCCGCAGACAUCGCGGCUUUCUUCCGAUCGGAUGAGUCGCCUUCUGACUAGGGAUUGGGAAAGUGAGAGCUUGCGGACGAGGCCGUGUGAGAGCAAGCGAGCGAGAAUCUUAUCUUAACGGAAGCUGUUUCAGGAAAGUCAUAUGGCUGCAUAGCUUUGACAAAGAAGAUUUAAGGAGGCACAGGGAUAGAUUCCUGGUCUAUCUGCAAUCAAAUCAAGCCCCAGUGAGACAUUCUGGCAGACGGUGAGAGUCUAAAGAGCAGCUGUACAUCUCUUCCUUUGAAACCCACACGGGGUUGCCCAGACCUUGCUUUGCUUCAUGGGCUGCUGCUAGCAAAAGCAAGAACACUCAAAACAAAGGGAUGCCACAUCACACUUUUUGCAUAGUUAGAGGUAAGAAAGGGAAAGGAAAGAACAAGACAUGGGCUGUUCUUUUCAGCAACAGCAGCCCUGCAGACACCAUAAGGCCCAAUGGGCUUAAGUUACAGGAAGGUAGAUAUUCUUAACAGAAAUUCUUAACAGACAGAGCCGUUUGGCAAUGCAACCAAUGGCUUGGGAGUGGAUGGGCUCUCUUUUGUGGCAGGUCUUCUAGCAGAGGCUGGACAGCCAUCUUCCAGAGAUGCCUUAGUUCUGGAUUUCUUCCAUUGAACAGGGGUUGGGCUAGAUUGUCUACAGUGACCCAUUGGGUUGGGCUAGAUUGUUGGGCUAGAUUGGGCUAGAUUGUCUACAGGGGUUGGGCUAGAUUGUCUACAGUGACCCACUAACUUCAACUUAAGGAAGUUGACUGGUGGAAUUAUUUCAGAUCUAGAGCAGUACCUUACUAGACCUUAUGGUAGACGCAGGGCUGCUGCUGCUGAAAAGAGCAGCACUCUUUCUUCUCCAUGGUCACACCCAGCAAUGCAAAACGUGUGAUGUGGUGUCCCCUUCCUUGGAGUUGCCUGGCCCUUGCGAGCAGCAGCCCAUGACACAGAGAAGGGGCAAGGCCCUUGAAUUACAUGGCACCGAAGUGGGGAGUGAAGUGACCCCACCUAUCAAACAGCAAGAGGAACAUUUGAUCAGGGUCAUGCUCCCUUUCCCACAUCACCCGCUGCUUACCAUGAUUCUGCGGCCAAUGCCACGGAAUCCAAGGAUGGACCCAGCAAAGAGUUAACAAGUGGAAGAAAUGCUGAGAAGCCUCUUGUCCCUCUCCCUCCUCUGCCGGUUUUCGAAGUAGUGAUGAACAGUCAUUAAACUCAUCUCCCUGUUGUUGGACAUAGGAAUAGUGAUUUAAUUGAUUUUCUUUUUGAAAAGGAAAAAGAAUAAGAAGCCAACAGAACCUUUCAUUACUGACAGGCAUUCUUUGGGGUCUGGUCACUGACGAAAAUCUUUCCCCCAAUAUUUACAUUUUAUAUUUCUGCAUAACACUAUUGUUUUAAGAUGAUAAUCCUGUAAAAACUGGCAAAGAAUGAAAGGUUCCUUCUUACAUCUCUCUCUAAAAAAAUGAUUCUUGAUUCUUUCGGUGGCAAGGAGAGUUGUAAGCCACACAUCUUUCGCAAGGUCAGGCAGUUUACUAUCUAGUUGACACAGAUAGUGUUCAAAUAUGCUGUUCUUUCUCUGGAUUACAUUCAAAUAUAUUAGGCUACAAUAAUCUGCCUAGGAACAUUUUUUAAAAAACAUUUUUGCUUCAAACAUCUACAGAAGAGUUCUGUGUAGCUUAAAAAAACCACCCUUCAUUUUAACCACCCUUAUUUUAACCACCCUUCAUUUUUAUGAUUAUAACUGACCCCAAAGGGGUCUAAAGCAUGAUGGGGGGAAAAGAGAGAGCAAAAAAACCCAACACCCCACCUCAAACGGGACACAUUGUACUCCAUCUACAUAAAGGGAGCCAAUUGUUCUGUAGUGUUUCAACCCCAUACUCCUAGCGUGUGUGUUUCAGAAUGGCACUGGAAUCAUUUGAAGACCAAUUUAAGUGAAUAUGAGGAAAUAAGCAUUGCAUAUCCUAGGGAACUGGAAGGGGGGGUAGGUCACUACAACACUAAUACCAUAAUGGCUACUUUAUGCUGAUGCAUCAUACAUUAAAAAUGUGCUAGUUAGAACUGGAUUCUUUAGGCCCAGACUCUGCAGCAGACUCCCCCUGCUGGCCAAACACCAUAGUCACAGUCUUAGUCUUUUCCCGCCCUUUUAGAGACUCUCUCCCUUUUACAUUACCAGCUCCUUUAGGUAAAAUGGAGGGAUUCUUCGCAACCGUCGUCAUCUUAGGAACAGAAGAUGCCUGUGAUGACCUUGCUGCCCUGCCGGUCAGGUUGCUAGCCAGCUCGCCAAUCCGCCUAAUCUCUUCAGAGGUUGGUGGGGCGUUGGCAAUAGAGAGCCUCCCAAAGCGCUCUUCACAGCCACUUCAAGCUGCCUGCAGCAGCGUGGCGCGCCGGGCCGCGGUAGUGCAAGUCUCGCAGCCCGAGGGCGGGAGACUCGACGUGGCCCCUUUGACGAUUGGGACGGGCGGCUCGAGAGCGGCCGUCACCGACAUGGGAAAAUCAAGCCCUUCCAGGGGGGCCUCCGUGGCCCAUAGAUGAGAGAUGGCCGAUUACGGACCGUCAACUCACUGCUGUCAAAUUUUUGGGGCGGUUUUCAGGUCAGAAAAGUGGCCUUGCUAUGCAGAGCUUGCAGCAGCCUGUGCCAAUGGGGCCUACAAAAGGCCCUGAAGCCUCCCAGGCCGAAAACACUCAAUCUCUUCCCCUUGUUGGAGAAAUUGCUCUGUACCUCUCUGACUGGCUCCAAGCAACGGAGAGGAAAGAGGAGAUGGGGGGGGAGAGGAGUGGGCGGGGGAGAGAAACAGACGAAAGAAGGGUGGUUUUCUUUCUUUUCAGGUAAUAGCAAGCAAUAAGGUUCAGAGACAGAAAAAAGGAUUUGGAGAACAGAAUACUGUAGUUAGGAAGUCAAUUAGAGAAUUAAUAUCAGCAGAAAAUAGAGAGAGCUAGAAAAACGCUGCUGUGGAGUUUGCUGAGGACAGAAAGAACUGGGGCAACCGAGAAUAUGUAAUACCACACCCUGCUGCCCAAAGGGCCUGCACAUUCUGCACCCCAAAAUACACAGUCGUCUUUGCUCAUUGCAGCACAGCCCCCAAUAAACAGCUAGACUCAUACGCUACACUCUCUUUAUUGAAUAUGAACCAAAAAGAAAUGGUUUCAUACUGGAGUUCCAAAUUGACAGCAUCAUCUUUUUAUUUCUGAAAUGCCAGAAUAUUGCCCCCAUAUUGAUCUGGGAACUCUCUCCCACUGCAUCAUCAAACCAGCGCAGGCUAGUCCUUCGCUCGUCAUCCACACAGACUGGGCAUUUGACUUCAUGAAUUAGCAGCCUGCACAGCUCAUCUUAAAGUUGGGGUUUCCCUCACUUCUCCUCUGUGAUGGGGGUGUGCAUCAAAAUCACACUAAGUACACCAGGGCACCAAAACCCCUAAGUCCGGCCCUGAAAGUAACACACAAGUGAUCCUAAAACCAAACCAACUGUGGGACAAAUCAGACUCUUUCCUGAACCUCAGCCCAAUGUUUGUGUGAUUUACAGAUUAAGGAAAGAAAUGUUUAGAGCUGUAAAUGGACUUAAAAGCUGACUGAAUGUAGCAAAAUAAAAAUGGCUGGAGUCAGGGCUGAUUAGGCUGCCUGGAACUGGGAACCUAGAACCUAGCAACCCUAUGCAUGGCGGCCCAUCAGGGCAGGGCUGACUCCAGCCCUUUUUGCGGGGGGGGGGUGUACAUUAUGCUUUAAAAUGUUUUAAAACUCAAAAUUAUUACAUUUUUCAUACAAAAUACAUGAAAUGUGCACAAUUAGUAAGCAACUUGCAUUAUAUAGAUAUCAGGCUGCCUAGAACUGGGAAUCAGGAACAUAGCAACCCUAUGCAUUGAAAAGCACAAUGUGUCUGCAUACACUGUAAGUGAAUAGAAAACAACCUCUGCAUACAACUGAGUGCUUGAUUUGGGCUGGGGCAACUAUACCUGAUGGACCAUCUUCUGGAAUGGACCUUCAAAGACAGAAGGGUCUUCUGUGUGGGGGAUUUUUGGCAGGAAAUUCAAAACAAUCUCAGCCUCAUUUAUAAUCUGGACUAAACUGAAAGACUGCUGUAAGACACUCUCUCUUAGAUACCACCCUCCCACAACCUGUAAUAUAGGGUACAGAGCUGUAUUGGCAUUGCUAAAUGUUUUAAAAUAUUUUAAAACUAUAUUUUCCAUAGGUAGUGUUUUCUUUCAUGGGGAGGGUAUGCUGCUGUUCAAUUCCAGCUAUGCUAAAAUGGUGAAUUUUGUUUUUGCUGGGUACUGUAAUUAAAUUGUGAUGAUAGUCUUCUCCCGUCUCGAUGGAUAUCUCUGCUUCCCUUACAUAUCAAUCAUAGCUAUGAAUCCCCUUAUUGGCUACAGAGAGUGAAGGUGGCAGUGGGCUUGUUUCUCAAUAAAUGAUUGGGCAGAAUACUGCUGACACAUUUUGCUUCAUAUCAAGGGCUAGAAUCUUGAUAUUCUUCUUUAAACUUGUAAUAUUUGUAAGGAAAUAAGUUGGUGUUCCACUUUGUUCUUUAAAUGUUUCCAUGAGUGCUUUGUUUAUGCAAGUGACAUUGUGCAAUGCCAAGCAAUGCACUGACUGCAAUUAGUCAUUCUGAAACUGGUUUUAGUAAUGGAAAGGAUUCCCCUUCAAUCAAGUAAUCACAAUGCAGUUCAAUGUACACAUAGUUUUGUAUGAAAUAUGUGAACAGUACACUUGUUUUUUAAAUUUAUAAUUGUGCACUUGAAUUCAUAUUAAAAACUAGUGUCUUUCCCAA